rnacentral:lncRNA from 1 species
AGAAAAAAACGAAUCAAUUUUCAUAAGACUAUAGGUAACAUUAUACGAAAGAUUCAUCGUAUAACUGAAUCCUAAAAGCGGAGAAUCGUUUUCUAUGACUGUCGGCCAUCUUAACACGGAUAACCCCGACAAACUUGGCCUAUCAAUCUCGACAAGCGCUCUUUGGCCCUCUGUCAAUUACGCCCUCCUGUAAAAGUCCGAACCAGAAUUCGGCAUCCCCUUUAAGGACAAUCGUAAACUAACAUGACCUUCAUGUUAACACGAAAGUACCUUGGUCUAAUCCUUGACCUACAAGCCAAGCCAAAGUAUUUGGCAACCAUUGCUCCAUCACUUAACGGCUAAACGACAAUCUGCGAUUUGUCAAAAAAUGUCAUGUGACUAUUAAGGGAAUAAUUAUCGUAUAACCCAUAGUCGGAAAUCAUAUGAUAAAUACUUCGUAACAAAACUCAGUCCUAACAACCAAACGGUUAACGUAAAAGAUAAACUUGUCGACAUUCGACCAAGUUCUAUACGUUCCACAGUUAAGUUUAAAGCCUGCUAUGUUUUCCCCGUAAAAUGCGGCAUAUAAGGAAAACUCGUAACAGAGCUCCUAGAAAAAUACGAAACAUCCUCAAAUAUACAUGAAUUAAUCUCGGAAAGUCAAAACUUCACAAAGCACUACGAAGGAAAACGCUUCUUCCCAUGGACAAAUUUAUGUGACCCUCGGUCCUAAUUCCUCAAUCGCAAAUCAAAUAAUUAGCAUCCAAACAGGAACAACAAUUUUGGCUGCGAACAUCCGUAGACAAACCAAAAUGU